rnacentral:rRNA from 1 species
UACGUAGGGCGCAAGCGUUGUCCGGAAUCAUUGGGCGUAAAGAGCUCGUAGGUGGUCUGUCGCGUCUGCUGUGAAAACCUAGGGCUUAACCCUGGGCCUGCAGUGGAUACGGGCAGACUAGAGGUAGGUAGGGGAGAAUGGAAUUCCCGGUGUAGCGGUGAAAUGCGCAGAUAUCGGGAGGAACACCGGUGGCGAAGGCGGUUCUCUGGGCCUUACCUGACACUGAGGAGCGAAAGCGUGGGGAGCGAAC